CCUACGGGUGGCAGCAGUGAGGAAUAUUGGUCAAUGGGCGCGAGCCUGAACCAGCCAAGUAGCGUGAAGGAUGACUGCCCUACGGGUUGUAAACUUCUUUUAUAAAGGAAUAAAGUGAGGCACGUGUGCCUCUUUGUAUGUACCUUAUGAAUAAGGAUCGGCUAACUCCGUGCCAGCAGCCGCGGUAAUACGGAGGAUCCGAGCGUUACCCGGAUUUCAUGGGUUUAAAGGGAGCGUAGAUGGGUUGUUAAGUCAGUUGUGAAAGUUUGCGGCUCAACCGUAGAAUUGCAAUUGAUACUGGCAGUAUUGAGUGCAGGUGAGGUAGGCGGAAUGCGUGGUGUAGCGGUGAAAUGCUUAGAUAUCACGAAGAACUCCGAUUGCGAAGGCAGCUUACUAAACUGCCACUGACAUUGAUGCUCGAAAGUGUGGGUAUCAAACAGGAUUAGAUACCCGGGUAGUC
rnacentral:rRNA from 1 species